GACGAACGCUGGCGGCGUGCUUAACACAUGCAAGUCGAACGGAAAGGCCCUGCUUGCAGGGUCCUCGAGUGGCGAACGGGUGAGUAACACGUGGGUGAUCUGCCCUGCACUUCGGGAUAAGCCUGGGAAACUGGGUCUAAUACCGGAUAGGAGCCAUUUUUAGUGUGAUGGUUGGAAAGUUUUUUCGGUGUAGGAUGAGCUCGCGGCCUAUCAGCUUGUUGGUGGGGUAAUGGCCUACCAAGGCGGCGACGGGUAGCCGGCCUGAGAGGGUGGACGGCCACAUUGGGACUGAGAUACGGCCCAGACUCCUACGGGAGGCAGCAGGGGGGAAUAUUGCAGAAGGGGCGCAAGCCGGAUGCAGCGACGCCGCGUGGGGGAUGACGGCCUUAGGGUUGUAAACUCCGUUCGCUAGGGACGAAGCUUUUUGUGACGGUACCUAGAUAAGAAGCACCGGCUAACUACGUG
rnacentral:rRNA from 1 species